rnacentral:rRNA from 1 species
UACGUAGGUGGCAAGCGUUGUCCGGAUUUACUGGGCGUAAAGAGCGCGCAGGCGGUCGUUCAAGUCGCGUGUGAAAGCCCCCGGCUCAACUGGGGAGGGUCACGCGAUACUGAUCGACUCGAAGGCAGGAGAGGGUAGUGGAAUUCCCGGUGUAGUGGUGAAAUGCGUAGAUAUCGGGAGGAACACCGGUGGCGAAGGCGGGUCUCUGGGCAUUUCCUGACGCUGAGGCGCGAAAGCGUGGGGAGCAAACGGG